UUCUAGCCCUGAUGGAAGCGGCAUCCUUUUGUCUCAAUUUUUUUGGAGACAAAAGAUACAGUGGACAGCAGGAAAUAGC
rnacentral:sRNA from 1 species